CCUACGGGUGGCAGCAGUGGGGAAUAUUGCACAAUGGGGGAAACCCUGAUGCAGCGACGCCGCGUGAGCGAUGACGUAUUUCGGUAUGUAAAGCUCUAUCAGCAGGGAAGAAGAUGACGGUACCUGACUCAGAAGCACAGGCUAACUACGUGCCAGCAGCCGCGGUAAUACGUAGGGGGCCAGCGUUAUCCGGAUUUACUGGGUGUAAAGGGAGCGUAGACGGUGAGGCAAGCCAGAUGUGAAAGCCCGGGGCUCAACCCCGGGACUGCAUUUGAAACUGGGUGACUGGAGUGUCGGAGAGGCAGGCGGAAUGCCUAGUGUAGCGGUGAAAUGCGUAGAUAUUAGGAGGAACACCAGUGGCGAAGGCGGCCUGCUGGACGAUGACUGACGUUGAGGCUCGAAAGCGUGGGGAGCAAACAGGAUUAGAUACCCGAGUAGUC
rnacentral:rRNA from 1 species